AGUGAUGACGUAUUGCUCUUAAAGCGGUCAUUAAAUCAUUGAAUUUAAUUGUUUAAUUGAGUUAAUUAGUCAUUUUUUUAUAUUAAAUUGCUUUGUUAAGUCUCCGUGAAUGUAUUGAGUGAUAAAUUUUGAGUCAAAGUUUAUUAUUUUUGCAUAAAAAUGCAUAUUGUUGGUGGCGGUCAGACAAAGAAAAAAAAGCCGGUGAAUCAUGAACAAAAUGGCGGACAGACUCCAAGAAGAGCAGCCAAAAAUUAUUUGCAAAAUAUGGUAAAACAAGUACCAAAUGUAUUGAUGCUAAUGGACAAAGAAUCGUGGUAUUCGAUAGUUCAAAGCUGAUCAAACAACUGAAUAUCAAUUAAGCUUUGGCUUGAUUAGUAUGUCCUAAUAAUUCAUGAAACAAUUACUGUUAAAACCAAGAUGACAAUACAGGGUUGUGUCGAAAUACAUGAAUGUAGUGAGAUUAAAGUGGCCAAAGUAUUUGUGGUGUGCUGAUAAAGAGAUCACGAUGUAAAGAAUCAUUUUAACAAUUAAUUGGCUGUUUAGUCAUGAUGAUUAAGAAAAAAGCAAAAGAUGCUAAUGGUGAUGGUGAUGCAAGGUAUGUUGGUAUUAGUUUUUUCUUCAGCAAAUGGUUUGGAAAUCAAUCAAACCAUUUGAUAAUUUUAUUAUGAAAUCCUUUCAAUCAGUAAAUAUUUAUGAAAAUAUGAUUGAAGGUAUUUCAUAGUAAAUUUUGAUUCAACUAAACCAUCAAAAAAAAUUAACCACAAUAAUGGAAAGAUCAAAAUGAAUUGUGUGGAUGGUUUUGUUAAUAAUGCAUUGCAUUUAAAGAAAUACAAAAAUAGAAAAUUAAAAUUCUAUUAUCUUGCGUUAUGAUUGAAUUAUCAAAGCCGAUUAUUAAACGGUGCGUUGCGUUGAUUUAAAGAUAAAUAAUUAAAACGCGUAAUUUGAUAAAUUUAUAAUUUGUGAAAGAAGAAAAAACUGGAAAAUUAAUUAAAAUGAAAAAAUAAUGCUGAGGAAAAAACAAGAUAAAAUAUUAAGAACCACAAGAUGCUCAUAAAAAAAUAGUACCAACCCUUGGAUCAGACAAAUCGACUUAUUUAUUAAACAAGAAGAUAAUAAUGCAAAGAAGAAUUUAUGUGAUAAGCCUUCAUCAACAAAAAUAUUCGUCACUUUUCAAUAUUAAAAAAAAAUAAGGCCAACGAAUGAAAGUACAACCAGAUGUUGAUGAUAUGGGACAUCCUGUUGACGUAGCUUGUCAACAAAAUUUAUCGGUGGAUCCUGUAAAGUACCCAGCCCACAUUAUUGUUGUAAAUAAAUUUUUUUGAAAUUGUUUUUAUGACACCUGCAACCUGGACUACUUGACAAUGAUAAAUUAACAUUACAAAUUUACUUAUUUACAUUAUUAAAACGAUGAAAUGUUUUAUAAACUUUGACAAGUUUGUAAAUGUUUUUGGCAUCAAUAGAAAUGGUCAGCUGCUUUAUGUUAAUUAUCUUUUGAUUUCUCAAUAAUAAUAAAUUCUUGAGGAUUGAAAAUUACUUGUCAUCAACAAGUGAAGAUGAUUGUCUUGCUGGUGAUGGCUAUCCUCAGAGGAUAUUUGCUUUAUUGAACUUUGGCUUGUUCAAAAUGAGCUACAACUGUGUUAGCUGAUAAAAAUAUAUAUUCUGUUUGAAUGAGGUACUCUGUUUGUGUAUGACUUUAUUUAGCAAUUGAAUAGACAGUCAUCAUUUAAAAUAGAAUUACAUUCGUCCAUUAAUUUUCUUGUUAAUUAUGAAUCAUAAAAAUAAAUUACUUUACAAAUAAAACAAUCAAUCUUGAAAUAAAACAAAAUAAUUUCAUAGAAAAAACUCAUCAAUUUUCUUGUAGCUUUCAACAAUGAAAUGAAAUAUCAAACAAUAAGAAUUUUUCACAUUUAGUAUAAUACAACAGUCACAUAAAUUCAUCAAAGGUUUUUUCUUGUUUUUUUUUUAUUUUUUUUCAUCGUUAAUUUUUGAUUGUAGUUUCGUGAACAACUUCCGUUACGUAAACGUGUGUAAAUUUCUUUACAAAGAAUAAAUAAUUUUCAUUGGUGUAUUUAAAAGAUGCAUAUACAGUAGUAUGCAUGAAUUCGGUACCGCAAAAUUUGUGAAUUAUGUUGUAUCAGGAAGUCGAGUCUGGCUUGCGAAUAAAUCGAAAAAAUAAAAAACACAAAAAAGCAUAAUAAAAACGGUAUACAGUUGUUUGUCAGGUGAGCAAUGAAGAGUACCAUUGAGUAGGUUUAUAAAUAACAAUGAAAAAAAAAAAGGAACUAAUAAUUUUUAAUAUUUUUUUGAUCCAGAGUAAAAUUGAACAUGAAAUAUCAACUUUUUCAUGGCAUUUUUUUUUUGUUCAAUGAAAAUUAAGUGCACACAUCAUCGCGUGCGACUAUCAUCAGAAAAUAUCAAACACAUUUUUAAUAAUAAAUAGAACAAUGAUCUAUAUUUAAAAAAAAAGAUAAUUUUAUUUAAAUAUAUUUUUUUUCUUAUCUCAAUCUUAUUUUUCAUAAAUAAUUAUUAUAUUUGCAUAUAAAUUAUUAUUUUUUUUUAUUAUUUGUUUAAAUUUUAUCUAUAUAAUAUACCAAUACAUUUUUUUUUUGCCUCGAAAGUUCUUUAACAAUAAAAUCGGAAGUGCAUUGCGCAUUUACGGCGAAACGGUACACUUAACCCGAGUUCGUUGAUGUACUGUACAUAAUUUUUACGGGGUCACAGUAGCGCAUCGAAAUAUUUUACUGAUUGACGUAGAUAUGCUUCAGCGUGUAUGUCGUUCCUCUUUGACUCCCUCUUGUCCUUUUUCCCGCUUCUCAUUUUUUUUACACUCGAAAACCCUACAACUUGUUGUUUUUUUAUUUUAUUUUUUUAACGUCCACCAAUGUUCUCAUCCUUCUAUACAUUGCCUUCAUGUAUAUAUACGAACAACUGAUCGUAAUCUAAUUGCAAAAACACAAAACUUAAAAAAUAAAAUAAACACAUAAAAUAAAAAAGUAAAAAUCUCGGUGCAAUACACAUGCAACAUUCAUAAAUUAACUGUAAUUAUUUUAGUAUGCAAACGCUCAACUGUGUUGGCUUAUCUGCAAUGUUAAUUUUGGAAACGUGGAUGCUUAAAAGAUCCUCGUCAAAUUGAUCAUAUUUAAAUAGGUGUGGUAAAUUUUAAUCUAUAACUAUUUUUUAAAACCGUUAUGGUAUUAUUGAUAUAAAAUCGGCUUUAAAUCAAUUUUUUUUUAAAUUUUUUUGACUUGUCAUUUUAGUGAAAUCAGUAGUUAUUAAAUUAACAUUGUAAAUUAAAUUUUUUUUUUUUAAAACGGGUAUUUGGAUUAUAUUUAAAAAUGAAUUAAUUUUUUAAAUAUUUUAAUCUUUUAAUAAUUUAUUUUUAUAUUAAUUUCGUAAUAUUUAAUAUAAAUAUUAAAAUUUAAGCUUUUCUUAUUUAUUUUUUUUACUUUUGUUUAUAAUAUUAAAAAUAAAUUUGCUGCAUGAAAAUACUUUAUGUAUUUUUAUUUUAUUUAUUUUUUUGUUGAAAGAUAAUUAAUAUUAUAUCGAGUUGUAAAGAACAAGUUAAUGAUUUAUAUAGUUAGCUGGAAAAUAAUUCACGUUGAAAAAUGAACUUUGAUAAAACUUUGAUAUUAUUAUUUGGAAAUAUUUGAUAAAAGUAUGUAUAUAGUUGACUGAAAUUGAUCAGUAUUAAUUAUAGAUUCCAUGCUAAAUAUUUAAUCAGAAUGGCAUUUGAUUAAUUAAAUUAUAUCAAAGGCGGUGAUAUUGAUUCAAUCAUGUCAAAGUGAACUAUUUAAUUUUGAAUCACCACAUAUUACAUCUGAAGCAUUUCACAAUAAGUGCCACUAUUGUUAUCAUUAUUAUUUAAAAAUAAUAAAUAAUCAUUAUUAUUAUUAUUUUACUUUUUAUAUGCAACGUUGAGAUAAAAAGAAAAAAUAAUAAUAUAAAUUUGAAUUGAACAAAAAA